AAGGAAACCUAUCCAGGGAAAAAGCACAAGGGAGAAGUAAUUAGUAAUUUAUCUGUGACGAGGUCAACCAUUUGUAAAAUGUGUAAUGGAUGUUAACUUCAUUAAGGAAUUCUGGCGUAUGUGCCAAAAAGUAAUGCAUUUCAAGUUUCAAACUAAUGCAUGAAAGAUGUGUGAAUCCAAACUUCCCAUCUUAUUUUGAAUGCAAGGAAUAACAUUGCCAAUCCAAGAUGUUGAAAAGAACGUACUCAUAAGGGAUAAUUAAAGCCUUGUACAAGUUGAGUGCUCUCGCAACCUCCUAACCACAUCAGGAAACUUAAAAGACAACCUAAAAAUUACUUUAGAUUAUCAAUACCAGCAGAAAUUGACUGCUGAUUUGCUAAAUUCAAAAUCCCCCUCCAUAUAACAGACAUGAUCACACAAUGCACAGCAGUGAAAUUACCAGAAAUAUCAUGCAUACUUAAAGUAAAUUACUGAACUAUCGUUUCUUUGCUCCAUAUUAAUCAAUGAAACAAUCUUUACAAAUCAGACAAACUCACACGCCGUUUGCCCUACAGGAAUUUCUAUAUUGAGACCUUCCAUUAAUACAACAGUACAAAAAAAAAGUUCCUAAAAUUCUCUACUGAUCUCUCUCUAGCUUAACUCUGUAUGCUUCAUUAAUGUACAUGUGGGGGCUCACCCCGUUUCGUGAAUGAUCAAAACACCCAGUAGUACCGUAUGAAAUAUGGUCAGUCCUAAGCAUACCCAAAAGCCAUCUCAACCUGGAAAAUGCCCCCACUACACAAAUAUGAUCGGUCGGUGAGCCUGAGCAGUUUUGGGUGAAGUACUAGGCUACUACCUGCUGAUAUUAUGUUUUGGAAGUGGAAAGCUGUACUGGAAAGAAAAAAGGAAACAUAGUAACAACCACACUUAAUUAUCCCCAAUGCCAAGGCCCAAAAUCCUAGCAAAAGGAGCAAGAGGUCAAUCAUUGUACCAAGAAGACAUCCAAAAAAGAAGUGCACAUCCCAGUAAGAGUGAAAAGCGGCUGGUCUGUGAAUGCAUUCAUGAAUUGAUAAAUAAGUUGUCCCAAUGGCCAAAUUCUCCAUAUCUGGAAGAUGACAGCAGGCAGAAACAUUGAAACAGCCAUCAGAUGGUAGUGCUUCUGAAGAAGAAUCCUCUCAAUCUUACUACUCCUUGAAAUGUUGUAAAAUCACAGAUACCCAAUAGAUGCACAAGGAAAGUCUUUUAACUGGCUCACGAUCAAUGGGCAUUGCAGUGUGAAACAACCUCCAUCUCUGUCAAGAUGUUAAAGACGUUGAACCACAAAAGCUUCCCAAUUCCCGUGCAGCAACAAUCUUCCCUAAAAAGGGAAAGAAAAUUACCGAGGGAAUCCAAAUGUCAAGAAAUGUCAUGCCAAGCAUGGAUUCAGCAUAAUAGUGGAUGAACUUGAAAAUCUUGCACAAACUGCAUCCAUGAAGGGAUGAUAACAACCAUGAUAAGACCAUGGGAAGCAAAAAAUAAAAAGGCUUUUUCCCUAUGAGUCCCUGCUGCUGAGAUUGUUGCACCGAACAAGCAAUCCCAUUUGUGUAGCAAAAAAUUAAAGACAACUGGGAAGAGAAGAAGACCAAGAAGUAGAC
rnacentral:misc_RNA from 1 species